UUUAUCCUUUAAUCGUGAUUGUCCUUUUCACUGGAAGACAAGACGAUAGUGUCAUUUCAUUGUUCUGAUAAAUGCAAAAGACCACUGAAUCAAGUGAUAUAUAUUUUUUUAUAUUGAUUUUGUUUUGGACUUUAUAUAUAAAUGAUUAUGGUCGGGAACUUACGUGCGUUUCUUAGACUUUUUUGAUAAAUGCAGGAAAAUAUUAUAAUUACUUGCGCUAUGUAUAUUAAUUUGACGUUCACAAGUUAACAUGAUAUCAUUAUAUGCAGUUGACGAAGAUCUCUAGUACAAUUACACCUGGUAGUAGAUCUACAGUUCAAGGAUGUCAAAAACAAUUACCGCUGGCGUUUCAAGUGCGUCAACUUUACAGUACACUUUCAACCGAAAUGUCAACAAAAAUGGUGAAGUUAGAGAGCAAGCUGACUUAGGGAAAGUGGAACUCAUUAAAGUAUCAGAUUAUUGUACAAAGAAAGAAAGUAUCUUCAGCAUUGUGGCUACUAUUUCUGCGGUUUUUCAAAACAGUAUAAUAGUGGUAAAAGACAAUAAUAUUUUUGUGUACACGAUGACAGUCGGUAUCAUAAAUUCGAUAGAAAAACUUCCCGGAAAAGAACAAAUGUUAUUUAAAGAUUUUGUAUACAGUGGGAAUACAAAGUUUAUAGUGUACCGCAGUUCAGAGAAGAAUACGUUUAUUCAUGUUUUAGAAGAAUUCUCAGCAAUUUGGAAACAAAUAGAAGCAAUGGAAAAAACGUACUGUCAGGUAACCGUGCGGAGCGAAGAUAUUGUCAGGUAUCAUUUGCAAGUUCUUUAUAAAAAAUCUCUUUGUGAGGGUGUGAUACAUUGGAAGGAUGAAGAAACAGAAGUUGUAUCUUUGAAUCUUUCAAAGAAGAUUGCGCAGUUAGAUUUUACAAAAGUGGUUUUACCCCGUUUGGAAUCAUCACGUAGGAUACCAUUAGCAGAAACAAAGCUACACCAUAUGUGUCAACACUACCCGAUCUUAGAGUCAGACAUUGAGUACACGAAUAAACUAUAUGACAGAACAGAAAACACAUUACCAUCACCCGUUCAUUUCCAUGCAGACCUGCAAGAACAAGGUGCCUAUGGACAUGUACAGACACCAUCUCUUCAGGCUCCAUUACAGACCAGAUACCCUUCGUACUCGGUCUAUGAAUAUAGACUAGGGACAUAUCCGGACAGUUGGGACGGAAAGCCACAUGCAACGCAUCUUUGCCGAGCGGGAUUCUUUUAUAUACGUGUGUUUGGUGACAUGUUUUCCCCAUUUUUAUUUCUUUUCAUGAACACACUUAUUAAAGCAAACCGUGAAGAGAUAUUUCGAUGUUUCUAUUGUGGCAUAGGACUUAAAGACUUUUCAGUGCACGAUGAUCCAUUUCUGGAACAUGUCAGAUACUCUGGUCAAUGCCCUGUUUUACAUGAUGUGCUAGGUGGAGCUGAAUUGUCAGCUGUGAAGAUAAAGUUGCAGAUGGGAGACCCAGAGUACAACCGAUGUUUGCAAAUGCGAGAGAUACAUAGAAAGACAGUGUACGUAUACCGGCAUCCUGAUUAUGAAAGCGAGGAAGCGAGAUUCAACUCAUUUUCUCGAUGGCCGCUUAGAGAACAGUUUCCCCCUCUAUCACUGGCACGGAUCGGAUUAUAUUACACAGGUUACGAAACUGUUGUGCGAUGCUUUGCAUGCGAUGGCGGGUUUCGUAAACCUCAAGCGGCAGAUGAACUUUGGUUUCAACACGGCUUUUACUUUCCAUCCUGUCCGUACAUGAGGAUAAAAAAGGGAGACCGUUUUGUUAAAAUUGUAAAAGGCACCAAAACGGAGACUGAAGAAGAGGAAAAGAAAGAAAGUGAACAGGGCGCAGUCGGAGGAGUAAGUCUAACCUGUGAGAAAAUGAGGGAGAUCAAAAUUGAAAAUAGGGUGUAUCUCCAAAACACUUGUUUGGAACUGGGGUAUCUAGAGCAAGAUAUUGAUGACGCUUUACUUGAAAUGAGAAAGCGAGGUUUGUUGUAAAACGUUGAAGAUACAGCCAAACUAUUGAUACCUUGAUGGAUUUAAUAGAGAACAUCAAAGAGAGAAGGGCACUUCGAGAUAAAGUAGAACACUUAUUGAAUGAGUCACGCAGGGAUCAAAACGCAAGCCUCAAGUGCAUUGUUUACUG
rnacentral:misc_RNA from 1 species